rnacentral:rRNA from 1 species
GAGCUUGCUCCCGGAUGUUAGCGGCGGACGGGUGAGUAACACGUGGGUAACCUGCCUGUAAGACUGGGAUAACUCCGGGAAACCGGAGCUAAUACCGGAUAGUUCCUUGAACCGCAUGGUUCAAGGAUGAAAGACGGUUUCGGCUGUCACUUACAGAUGGACCCGCGGCGCAUUAGCUAGUUGGUGAGGUAACGGCUCACCAAGGCGACGAUGCGUAGCCGACCUGAGAGGGUGAUCGGCCACACUGGGACUGAGACACGGCCCAGACUCCUACGGGAGGCAGCAGUAGGGAAUCUUCCGCAAUGGACGAAAGUCUGACGGAGCAACGCCGCGUGAGUGAUGAAGGUUUUCGGAUCGUAAAGCUCUGUUGUUAGGGAAGAACAAGUGCAAGAGUAACUGCUUGCACCUUGACGGUACCUAACCAGAAAGCCACGGCUAACUACGUGCCAGCAGCCGCGGUAAUACGUAGGUGGCAAGCGUUGUCCGGAAUUAUUGGGCGUAAAGGGCUCGCAGGCGGUUUCUUAAGUCUGAUGUGAAAGCCCCCGGCUCAACCGGGGAGGGUCAUUGGAAACUGGGAAACUUGAGUGCAGAAGAGGAGAGUGGAAUUCCACGUGUAGCGGUGAAAUGCGUAGAGAUGUGGAGGAACACCAGUGGCGAAGGCGACUCUCUGGUCUGUAACUGACGCUGAGGAGCGAAAGCG